ensembl:lncRNA LINC00460 long intergenic non-protein coding RNA 460
AAUGAUGCAAUCAUAGCUUACUGCAGCUUCUACCUCUGGAGCUCAAGCAAUCCUCCAGCCUCAGCUGACCAAGUAGCUGGGAUUUCAGGCACAUGUCACCACAGCAAGCUAAUUUUUACAUUUUUGUAAAGACAGGGUCUCACUCUUCUGCCCAGGCUGCUCUUGAACUCAUGGGCUCAAGUGAUUCUGCCAUGUCAGCCUCCCAAGUGCUGGGAUUACAGGCUUGAGGCACCAUGCCUGGCCUAGGAAUAGGUCUUAAUCAGUGCUUCUCAUUUGGCCACGUCUGGAGACCCCUCUGGUUGUCACUGUGGGAGAAGCGGUGCUCAUGACAUCUCCCGGGUAGAGCCAGGGUGCCGCUGUGCCUCGCACAGUGCCCGGGGCAGCCCGCACGGCACAGCAUUACCUGGCCCAGAAUGUCCAUUGCACUGAGGUUGAGAGACCCUGGUCUAUGUUAAUCCUGGGACAGGAUCAGCAACAAGCUAAGGAGGAGUCGGCUGAGAGGCUCAUUCGGGGACCAGAGGUCUCCCUAAGGGCCCCUCAGCUGACACACUUCCCCAGCACCUCUUUGUGGCAGGGCAGGCCAGCUUUCCCAAAAUGAGCUAUGCGGGUGAGGCUUCUCCUUGGACUUUCCUCCUUCUUCUCCAUUCUUCUUCCUUUCCAGCAGGCCGGACCCCAGCGCUCGCCUCUCCAUGCCAGGACGCUAUGUGCCUCGCCAGGACAUCGGAGGUACCCAGACAUUGUUAUGAAACUCCGCAUGUGCCCCUGGUGGACGCUGCUGGACCCAGCAUGCACACUUCUCGGCUAAGAGUCACCCUGGAUGAACCACCAUUGCCAGCGGGGAGCAUGUUGCAGCUUUCCCACGCAGUGGAUGAGAACGAAGGUUACGACCAUUGUGUGGGAGGCGUCUGUGUAGCAAUUGCUGGAAUCACUUGUGGCAUUGUAGAAAGACUGAGCGUGGGAAAGAAGACGCAUUCUGAAGUCACCCCGAUUUAUGUUAAAUUAUCACCUUGACUACUGCUAUAGAACGAAUGUUUAUGUCCCCCACCCAAAUUCGUAUGCUAAGACCUAAUAGCCAAUAAGAUAGUAUUAAUAGAUGGGGCCUUUGGGAGGUGAGUGGCUCAUGAGGGCAGAGUCCUCAAAACCAGAUAAGUGCCCGAAUAAAAGGGGCCCCAGAGAGAUCCCUUGCACCGUCUACCAUGUGAAGUGUAGAACACAGCGAGAAGGCCACCUAUGAGCCAGAACGUGGGCCCUCACCAGAACCCAGUUGUGCUGGCACCCUGAUCCUGGACUUCCAGCCUCCAAAAUGACGACAAAGAAGUUUGUUUUUCCUGAGCCAUCCACUUCAAAGUAUUCUGUCAUAGCUCCCCAAAUAGACUAAGACAUCUACUUAACCUUGGUCAAACGUUUAACCUUGGAGUCCACGCCUCUGAAAUGGUGACAAUAACACUGUGUAUUUCCUACUUUAUGAUCAGGAUUAAUAAAUGUAAUUUAUUAAUCAGAAAUUAGUAAUUUCUGAUUAUUA